CGAGGAUGAAGAGGAUACAAAGAGAGUUGUUCGAAGUGCCAAGGACAAGAGGUUUGAGGAGCUGACCAACCUUAUACGAACCAUCCGUAAUGCCAUGAAGAUUCGAGAUGUCACCAAGUGUCUAGAAGAGUUUGAACUCCUGGGAAAAGCCUAUGGGAAAGCCAAGAGUAUUGUGGAUAAGGAGGGUGUCCCCCGAUUCUAUGUCCGGAUAUUGGCUGACCUGGAGGACUAUCUUAAUGAGCUUUGGGAAGAUAAGGAAGGGAAAAAGAAGAUGAAUAAAAACAAUGCCAAGGCUCUGAGUACAUUGCGCCAGAAGAUCCGAAAAUACAACCGAGAUUUUGAGUCUCACAUCACCAACUAUAAGCAGAACCCUGAACAAUCUGCAGAUGAAGAUGCAGAAAAGAAUGAGGAAGACUCAGAAGGCUCUUCAGAUGAGGAUGAAGAUGACGAUGGAGUCAGUGGUACAGCCUUCUUGAAGAAGAAACCAGACUCUUCUGGGGAGAGUCGAAAGUUCCACAAAAAGAUGGAGGAUGAUGAUGAGGACUCUGAAGAUUCUGAGGAUGAAGAAUGGGACACCAGUUCCACAUCUUCUGAUUCAGACUCCGAAGAAGAAGAAGGAAAACAAACUGUUCUGGCCUCAAAGUUCCUUAAAAAG
rnacentral:lncRNA from 1 species